UACGGAGGAUGCGAGCGUUAUCCGGAUUUAUUGGGUUUAAAGGGUGCGUAGGCGGGCUGUUAAGUCAGCGGUAAAAGCCCGGGGCUCAACCCCGGCGAGCCGUUGAAACUGUCGGACUAGAGACGGCGAGAAGUACGCGGAAUGCGCGGUGUAGCGGUGAAAUGCAUAGAUAUCGCGCAGAACUCCGAUUGCGAAGGCAGCGUACCGGCGCCAGACUGACGCUGAGGCACGAAAGCGUGGGGAGCAAACAGG
rnacentral:rRNA from 1 species